rnacentral:lncRNA from 1 species
CAUGCCUGUAAUCCCAGCACUUUGGGAGGCCGAGGCAAGUGGACCAUUUGAGGUUCAGGAGUUUGAGACCAGCUUGGCCAAUGUGGUGAGACCCUGUCUCUACUAAAAAUACAAAAAUUAGCCAGGCAUGGUGGCGCACACCUGUAAUCCCAGCUAUUCAGGAGACUGAGGCUGUAGAAUCACUUGAACCUAGGAGGCGGAGGUUGCAGUGAGCCGAGAUCAUGCCACUCCACUCCAGCUUGGGUGACAGAGCAAGGCUCCAUCUCAAAACAAACAAACAAACAAACAAACAAACAAAAAUUAGCCUGACAUGGUGGUCCCAGCUACUCAGGAGGCUGGGGUGGGAUUGCUUGAGCCCAGGAAUUCUAAGCUGCAGUGAGCCGUGAUCAUGCCAUCAUACUCCAUCCUGGGUGACAGAGUGAGACUUUGCGUUUAAAAAAACAAAACAAAACAAAAAAAAAGUGGAGAUUUAUUUCCACACGCAGUUGAGGUGUCUGUAGGGUGGUUUUCCUGGAGGCUCUGACCCCUUUCCUUUGGGUUCUGGUGGCGGCGGCUGCAGCUGCACUGGCAUUCCUGGGCUUGUAGCUGGAUCUCCAGCCUCAGCCUCCUUCCUCCCGUGGCUUUGCCCCCUGUGUCUCUGUAUCUCAAACUUCCCUCUCCUGUGUCUUAUAAGGACAGCAAGUCGUUGGAUUUAGGGUCCACCCUAAACGCUGGGAGAUCUUAUGUUGAGAUUCUUACCUUAAUUACAUCUGCAAAGACCCUGUUCCAAAUAAGGUUGGGCUCCAUAGUGGCAGGUAGGCAUAUUUUGGAGGGGCCCACAGUUCAACCUAACACAGGAAUUUCAGUGUUUUCCACUCAACACCAAUUACUUGAGCCCACCCCCAGCUGAAGGCACCCAGGAGCUAACCCGGAUGCUUCGAGUCUGUGGGCCUACUUACCCCCCACCCACUGGCAGUGCUGCCCACCUGGCCGAGGGCACUCACAGCUCUCUGUAGUUUCCAACCCACCCACAUGGCCCAGGCCCAGUUCUGUGCCAGUGUGGCUGGUCCAGGGCCUUUCUAGCUUCAUCAGAACCAGCACCCCUGGUGUGUGGUGGGAGCUGGGACACCAAUCUACGCUCCCCUUCCUCUCAUGGUGGGCUCUCAUUCCGGACCAACCAGCCCACCAGAGUCAUUCUGAUGACACUGGGCUCUGAAGAGGAGGCUGUGCAACAGCUUCAUCCUCCCAGGAGAUUCUCCAUCCCGCUGCCGAUUUUCUUCUCGCUGUCAAUCUGCUCUGUCCAGUGCAAAAGGUCCGACGAGCCCCUGUCCUGAUGUAGCUUCAGCUCCAGCCUGUCCUGGAAUCUUCUCCCAUAAUGCAUUGAGCUGUUUCGCCACGUUCCGGGCAGGAAGCUGAGUGUCUUGUGAUACCAUGUGCUCCUCAGAGCAGCCCCUCAGGGUCCUGUCAUUGUGUGAUUUUGUUGUCUCCAUGGAAUCUAUGGAGUCUUUAAAACACCAAGAUGCCUGGGUCACAAACCAGCUGAGUUGGAGGGGUCCAUCCCUCGGUGUCGGGGGCGUGCUUGGCCCACUGCACGUGGAUUAAGUCUCCUGUGACUGUUGCAACAAACGACCCCAAAUUCGUGGCUUAAAAUGACAGAAAGGUAUCAUCUCAUAGUUAGGAAGGUCACAGGUCCAAACUCAGUCUCAGGGCGCUGGCGUCAAGUGUGGGCUGUGCUGGCUCCUCCUGGAGGCCCUUGGGGAAUCUGUCUCCUGCCUUUCCCAGCGUCUGCACUCUGCCCACACUGCUUGGCUCGUGCCCCUCCUUGGUCUUCCGGGGCAGCAAUGCCGCAUCUUCGAAUCUCUCUCUGACUCUCUGACUCUGGUCCCUGCUCUGUCGUCACAGCUUCUCCUCCGGCUCCUCCAAAGACCCCUGUGACUUCGUCAGGUCCACCCUCUUACUUGGGAUCAUCUCCCCACUCAAGGCCUGUCCCUCAAUGCACCUGCAAUGUCCCAUUUGCCCUGUAAGGUGACACAGUCACAGGUUCUGGGGAUUGGGGUGAGAAUGUCUUUGGGGUCAUUUUUCUGCUGACCAUCCCAGAGUUCACAAAGACGCUGAGUGAGUGACCCUCCUGAGCCUCAGUUUCCCUCCCAUAACCUGGGGUGUUCUGAUGGCUGAUUGGGCUGGUGCCCUGGGGAGGUGUCUUGGCCACUGUUG